UACGUAGGGUGCAAGCGUUAAUCGGAAUUACUGGGCGUAAAGCGUGCGCAGGCGGUUCGCUAAGACAGAUGUGAAAUCCCCGGCUUAACCUGGGAACUGCAUUUGUGACUGGCGGCUAGAGUAUGGCAGAGGGGGUAGGAAUUCCACGUGUAGCAGUGAAAUGCGUAGAGAUGUGGAGGAAUACCGAUGGCGAAGGCAGCCCCCUGGCCAAUACGUGACGCUCAUGCACGAAAGCGUGGGGAGCAAACAGG
rnacentral:rRNA from 1 species